UGACCUAUGAUAAAUAGAGCUGUGUCUGUCU
rnacentral:piRNA from 1 species